UGAUGGUAAUGACAUUUUUGAUGACCAGCAUCAUGAAAACAAUAUAUUGGAGGACGCAGAAUCUGAUUACAGUGACUCCUUUACCACUGCUUCCACUAAUGAGGAUCCACUUAUGGACACUGAUGGUGAGACUACUGAUGAAGUUGGUUCUCCAGAUGACAGUGAUCAUACAUCAUAGUGGCAUGUAAGGCCUACAAUAAAGAUGCUGCUCAAAUUAAUGCUGGGAAAGAGAAAGUGAAAAAGAUGUAUGCAACUUGCUAUUUAACUUGUCCCUUUUAGAUGCCUCAACUUUAAUAUUCAAAAUGCUUAUUGUUGACAUUUGUGAUUAAUUAGGUGUAACCAAAAACUAAGUUCUGGUGGUGACACUGGAUCCUGUGAUGCACAUGAAGAGCUGCAAAAGGGUGCUGUCAUUUAGUGUAAAUCAUUUCAAUUUAUGAAAGAUGGAAGUGUAGGGACUUAUGUAUAUUGGAGGAAAUUGGCUAAUACCUUGUUGGACUUUGAUUCAUGGCUGGAUGGAUUUUGUUAAUCAUGUCAAGCUAGUAUCCAGCCAUUAUUUGAAAAUCAGGAGGGUCCCAAAUUACUAAACAAUUUUAAAUGGCUCAUGCAAAGUUCAUAUGAGAAGGUCUAAAAAACAAAUAUUCCUGGUAGUUUACUUGUUUUGAAGAAGCAUGAUUUUUGUGCCCUGUUUGCUGCCGGUACUCAUUUAAUGGGAAAGAGAUUACAGACCUAUAUCAUUAUUUCAGGAAGGCAAAAUGUGAAUAUGAGAUUACAUGUGGAUAUUUAAUUGCUGAGUACCACGUCAGAGGGAACAGUACAUACACCCGUUAGUAUAAUAUUGAGUUGUUGGAGAUUCAAUUACUUAGUAACUUUGUUAAUAACAUCAGCAAACAGAUUCCAAAAAUGAAAAGGAUAUUGUGACUUAGUCUAGUCACAUUUUUUCAACUCGUUGGAUAUGAUGGUAUUAUCAAAAGCAUCACAAUAAUUUAAUAAAUAUGCGUAAAUUUUCCCUUAAUCAUGAAUUUUAAUAUUGGAAUAAUAUAAGUCCAAACAACUAAUUUUACUCUACCUUAAAGUUUAUGGCAGCAACAUCUGGAAAGGCAAGAAAAUCCAAUAUAAAUUUGGCACAAAGGCGGGAGGCUUAAAUAUAUUUGGCGGGUUGGGAAGUCAAGAAGGGCCAAAUUUGUAAUUUCAACAUACUUAUUUUGAUAAAGUCAUCGGGAAUAUAAGAGAGAAUGAUGCAUUAUGGUUGUUUAGUUGCUUCUUUUCUUCUGGGUCAGCAAGAAAAGUUAAAAACCAGCCAGAGUUAUCAAAGGUCAAGCAAGGGCUCUCGUCCCUAGAGGCUACCAGCUGGAGGUGCCAUUUUCUUCUCCAGCAAACCCAGUGGCAGCAGAUCAAAAGUGGUGACUAGAGGGCUGCAUAGAAGUACUCCAUUCGACAUGCAUCCAAGUAUACGAAGAGGAGUACGUGGCCGGGGGGGCGGCUUUAGGAGCAUCUUAGUUCCCAGGCGGCCAAUUAUACAAGAUGCACCAUCACCCCCACGAAAUACACCCGAGCUAAGAGACGACAAUGAUGACUGCUCAUCGGAUGACUCAACCCAACCGCCUGACGUCGUAUUUGAAACUGAGUUUCUAAACCAAAUUGAAAGUACAGGUACGAUAUUACAUGGGUUGCACUUAUGUCAUUAAAUUAUUUCUUAAUGAGUAUGGUUUUUGAGCAAACAAUAGUUAUAAUACAAACAUAUUUGUGGUGGAGAUGCACAUGUAGUACCUAUCAAUAAGAAACGAGGCCGUGGGAAAGCAAAGAUGACUAAGUUUGAUAUGCUUAGAAAGAUUGGCCCCAUUCCUUUGCUGAUAAAGGAUGGGGACACAAAAGUUUCAUGCUCGCAUGCAAGCAUAUUUAGUGGAAGAGUAACAUGGAUCAUCAAACAUUACGCUCCCAUGGGUAAUGCUCGUUGGAAUGAUGUGCCAGAUUCUGAACAGAAGGAGUUGUGUAGUCGUGUUCGAGCUGACUUUAUACUACAAUGGGAAAAGGAAAAUCACCGCAAGACAGUCACGGAACAACUACGUAGAAGAUUUAAUUCUUUUCACUACGACCUACACAAGAUCUACAUUGGAUAUGGAAGUCAUAAAAUGGCUCUAGCAAAGGGCACUGAUCUAGUGGAUGCAGAGGUGUGGAAAUCUUUAUGCAUGCGGUGGGGUAGCAAGGACUUCAAAGUAAUCACCCUUACUAUAUGGCUUUGUCAUCUAUUAUUUAAUGCAUUCCUAUGAACAACAUUAUGAAUAUUGGUGGUUAUCAAAAUACAUGCAGUGUUUCUAAAUGUAUUAGAAAGUUGCUUUUCCUUUUAAUAUACAUGUCAACAGUUUAACCUCCAUGUCAUGGAUAUUCAUAACUAGGCGCUUUCACUACAAAACAAGGCAAAUCGGGACAAACAAUUGACUAACCACACUGCUGGGAGGAAGUCCUUUGUUCGAAUAAUUGAGGAGAAGGUAAUAUAAUUCUAGGAUAAUGUCAUAUAUAUAUGGGUUUAUUUCACUUUAGUAAGUUGCUAGGGGGACUACUUUGAUAGUUUGUACAUUUGAUACUCACUGUGUCAUAUUAAAAUUGCAUGUUUCAGGGCGAUAGUGUUCAUAAUCUAGAGGACUUUUUUAAAGAGACUCGAUGGUCAAAAAAAAAAAGAAGGGUUUGUGACCAACAUGACCGAGGAACUAUAUAACAAAAUGGUGGAAAAGCUAAAUGACAUGGAACCUGAAGAGCGAACGAAGGAAGCCGCAGCUGUGGUGUUUAGAGAGGUUCUUGGAAAAAGGUCUGGAUAUGAAAGGGGUUUGGGUGGGAAAGUAAUACCGGCCACAUCAGUGGGUCCAUGUGUGUGUCAAAAUGGAGGUGCACUUUCACAAGAUGCACAGUAUUACAAGACCCAAUUUGAGGCAUUGAAGGCCAAUGUUCAGGAAGUUUUGCUAAAGCUAGCAGAAUUUGAUCAGUUUAUGACAUAUUCAAGGUCACAGCAACGAUCCCAGGGGGAGUCUUCAAGGGAGACUCCGGGAGCUGUAUAAAUUUGUUGGAUGACAUCUUUUUUUGUGGGUUUUUUGAGUGUCCUACUUGACUAUCACGGGUGGGAAAUGCUUUUGUUGUCACAGGGAGGGAAGGAAUAGCAUUAAAUUUUGUGGCUGCCUUUCUGAUGGCAUACAUGGUUGGGUGGAUGAGAUAGAGAUAAUAUUAGAUUUUCUAGAUACUUGUCAUCUAUGAUUGAUUUGGUCAGGGUUCUGGGGUAUUCACACUUGGAGCAAAUUACUAGUGAUCAUGAUUUUCCUGCUUCAUUCAUGGUCCACCUGCUGCAUCAACUGUAAUUUUUAUGGCCAUAGCACUCUGAAAUAGGAAAAUGUAGCACCAAAGAUUAAUGAAAGCUAAUGGAUGAUUGCAAAGAAGGGCAUGGGAGUACCAAUAUUGUUACAUGGGGAACUUCUCACCAUGCUUCAUUAAUAGAAAUUAAGAAGUACAAAUAUGACUGGUGGGUAUAAUGCAUGUAUUGGCUCUGUCCCAUUCAUGUGUGGAAGAAAAAUUUAUAUGUUCAUGUAAAUAUUUUAAGCAAACAAACAUUUUAAUUAGAAAGCUACUACUGGUACUCAUGUAACAUUUUCUUCCACCUGCCAUGUAUAGACUGUUAAGUUGUAGUAGUACUACUUCACUCUCGUGUAUAUGACACUUCUCAAUGGCAUUAUGUCA